rnacentral:misc_RNA from 1 species
GAUGAAGAACGUAGCGAAAUGCGAUAAGUAAUGUGAAUUGCAGAAUUCAGUGAAUCAUCGAAUCUUUGAACGCACAUUGCGCCCGCCAGUAUUCUGGCGGGCAUGCCUGUUCGAGCGUCAUUUCAACCAUCAAGCCCCCGGCUUGUGUUGGGGACCUGCGGCUGCCGCAGGCCCUGAAAAGCAGUGGCGGGCUCGCUGUCACACCGAGCGUAGUAGCAUACAUCUCGCUCUGGGCGUGCUGCGGGUUCCGGCCGUUAAACCACCUUCAUAACCCAAGGUUGACCUCGGAUCAGGUAGGAAGACCCGCUGAACUUAAGCAUAUCAAAAGGA